rnacentral:rRNA from 1 species
GAUGAACGCUAGCGGCAGGCCUAAUACAUGCAAGUCGAACGGUGUAGCAAUACACAGUGGCGCACGGGUGCUUAACACGUAUGCAACCUACCUUACAUUGGGGGAUAGCCUUUCGAAAGGGAGAUUAAUACCGCAUAAGACAGUAACUAGGCAUCUAGUAGCUGUUAAAGAUUUAUCGAUGUAAGCUGGGCAUGCGUCCAAUUAGUUAGUUGGCGAGGUAAUGGCUCACCAAGACGAUGAUUGGUAGGGGAACUGAGAGGUCAAUCCCCCACACUGGCACUGAGAUACGGGCCAGACUCCUACGGGAGGCAGCAGUAGGGAAUAUUGGGCAAUGGGCGCAAGCCUGACCCAGCCAUGCCGCGUGCAGGAAGAAGGCGUUAUGCGUUGUAAAGCUCUUUUGCCAGGGAAGAUGAUGACUGUACCUGGAGAAUAAGCCCCGGCUAACUUCGUGCCAGCAGCCGCGGUAAU